rnacentral:misc_RNA from 1 species
GAAACGCGAUAGUUAAUGUGAAUUGCAGAAUUCAGUGAAUCAUCGAGUCUUUGAACGCACAUUGCGCCUUUUGGUAUUCCGAGAGGCACGCCUGUCUGAGCGUCAGCAAAACCCUUCGGCUUGACAAUUUGUUGUCCCGCCGGUGCUGGCGGCGGGGUGCCCCCUGAAAAAGGGCGCCCCCCGCUUAAACCUGACGGCGGGAGGUCCGGCGGCCACGGCAAUAGUAGAAAUAUUUUUGCAGAGUGCGCCCGUCGCUUCCCCCGCCCUUAAGCCCCAAUUCAAAUUUUUGACCUCAGAUCAGACGAGGAUACCCGCUGAACUUAA